CCUAGGGUGGCAGCAGUGAGGAAUAUUGGUCAAUGGCCGGAAGGCUGAACCAGCCAUGCCGCGUGAAGGUCAGUGCCCUAUGGGCGUUAAACUUCUUUUGUGCGGAAGCAUUAAUGGUCACGUGUGGCCAGACGAGAGUACCGUACGAAUAAGAAUCGGCUAACUCCGUGCCAGCAGCCGCGGUAAUACGGGGGAUGCAAGCGUUAUCCGGAUUGUUUGGGUUUAAAGGGUGAGUAGGCUGUGUGGUAAGUCAGCGGUGAAAUGCCCCCGCUCAACGGGGUGAAGUGCCAUUGAUACUGCCUUGCUGGAAGGCGUAUGCCGUGGGAGGAAUGUGUGGUGUAGCGGUGAAAUGCAUAGAUAUCACACAGAACACCGAUUGCGAAGGCAUCUCACGAAUCCGCGAUUGACGCUGAUGCACGAAAGCGUGGGUAUCAAACAGGAUUAGAUACCCGAGUAGUC
rnacentral:rRNA from 1 species